GGGCAGGUUUGACUGGCUUCUUGCAUGGGAUGGUGGAAGAAAAACUUUGAGAUCAAAAAGCACUUGCAUCACCUUAACACUGCAAAUAAUUUGUCCUCAAUACAUAUAAAUAAAGAAAAAGUAUAGCCAACAUAUUUUCCAAAAUUACAAAAAAUGACAAAACCACAGAAUAGUACUCCUAGUGAUAAAAAAAACUUACCCUAUUUUUGAG
rnacentral:misc_RNA from 1 species